AGUUUUUUGUACACAUUUUAUUGUGAAUUAAAUUGUGAAUUGUUAAGAGAAUUCAAGUGCCAUCCUAUGGUUAGCUUUUAGUGACAUUUUUAAUAAAGCUGUUAGUUUAAAGUUUUGUUAUGAAAUUGUACACAGAUUGUGAAUUGUUAUGAGAUAUUUAGUGUCUGAACCAUGACAAGUUAUUAGUGAGAAGGUUUCUAAUGAAACAAUACAUUAGAUUGUGAAAUGUUAUAACAACUUUUCUGCAAGACCUAUGACUAGCUAUGAGUGAAAAGAUUUCAUAUGAAAUUGUACACAUUAGAUUUUGAAUUGUAAGAACAACUUUUGUGCCAGAUAUAUUAUUAGCUAUUAGUAAGAUUUAUAGUGAAAUGGCACACAUUAAUUUGUGAAUUGUUAAACAGAACUUUGGUGCAAGACCAAUGCCUGUAUAUAAGUGUUAAGAUUUUUAUGAAAGUGUACACAUUAGUUCUUUAACUGUUUAGAUAUUUUGUGUGAGAGGAGAAUGUUUAUAAAUGAUUAUGAGAUAGUUGUACACAUUUUAUUGUGAUAUCUUAUGAGAUAUUUGGUGCCAAAUGAAAGCAAAGUACUGAUGAAACUGUACACAUUAGAUUGUGAUUUUUUAGAACUUUUGUGUUAAAUGGCCAGUGUUCUUGCAUCCAAGGUGCGAAUGUUGAUACACUAUAUUGUUUGCAGACAGUUUGAAGAAAAUGAAAACUGCUUUAUUCUGUCUGUCAGUGCUCAAACUUGUGGCUCAAAUUACUACUGUUGUUUUUUGAAUAUCUUAACUGGUAAAGUAUUUCUAAGCAUGAAGUGCAGAUUUUCAAGACGCACUUUCCAUGUGCUCUGAUUCACAGAGGACAGAGUUAUGGACAAAUAAUUACAACUUCUGUCACUCUCAUAUGAAUGCUGCAUUCUGAUUGGAUAAUUUGUUUAUGUGACCGGUUUUUCAUUUUCCUAUGAACCCACUUUGUAUGCAAAUUUAAACAUGAAUCAUAGAGAUACUUUCUGGUCAUAAACAAGUUGUCAAAAUGACGUUAUGAUUUGCGCGAAACUUAAUGGCGUUGUUUUUUUAUUGGUCGAUAGCGAAAUGACGUUAUAUUUUUUCGCGAACUUCAAACAUAUAUACCCAUUUGACGGAGAUGAAACCGAAACUGAAAAUAGUUAUUCAUAGGCUAGAUUGAAAAGAACUUUUAUGACCCUUACCACGAUAGAAUUUCAGCUUAAAGAUCAUUUUUGUUGUAAUUAAGCCAGCGUUUAUGCAAAUUAGGCAUAACUUUCCCGAAAGUUCAUACACUGAUGAAAUGCAGAAAAAUGCUUUUCAAUUCUUAAGUAAAUUUUGACAUAAUUUAGGUCUUUUCCCCACCUAAUGGGAACUUAUUGGAGCAAGCUUCUGUUUUUUAAGUGACUAAUUUUAUAACUCGUCAUAAGCAUGCAGUUAAGAUAUGCAAGACACAAUUUUCAUUUGAAUUUAUUGACAUAUCCCUAACUUCUGCUCGUAUUCCUCACUGAGUCAGUCAAUUUCAUCCCAGUCAAAACUGUCUCUCGGGUAUUUUUAGUGACUGGUGUCAAAGCUUUAGCUGAAGUAUCAAUAGAUAUGCAAAUGAGCCUAAAAUGUCACUUAAAUUCUGCUUUGAUUUGCCUUUUCUGGAAAGUGCUGUAUUUUUAUUUGAUAUUGCAAUGUUUAAUGCCUUCUGAUGCUUGUUUUUUAUAUUUUGUUAGCUCACCUGAGCACAUUGUUCAAAGGUAAAAAAUGGCCAUAAAUGAGCUUGUUCGGGCCAUUACUAUGUCAUUCAUUGUGAUAUUUUAGAAUCAUCUGGCACAUUUGUUCACCAUUAUUGGACGUUGUGUCGCGCGAAAGAAUUACGUCAAUAACUCCAAGGUCAAGGUCACACUGGCCAUAAAGGAACUUGUCCAGGCCAUAACUAUGUCUUUUAUUGUGGGAUUUUAAAAUCAUUUGGCACAUUUGUUUACAAUCAUUGGACGGUGUGUCAUGCGAAAGAAUAAUGUCGAUGUCUGCAACGUCAAGGUUACACUUGAGUUCAAAGGUCAAAAAUGGCCAUAAACUUGUCCGGGCCAUAACUAUGUCAUUCAUUGUGAGAUUUAAAUUACUCUGUACAUUUGUUCACAAUCAUUAGACGGUGUGUCGCGCGAAAGAAUUACGUCAAUAACUCCAAGGUCAAAUUUACACUUUGAGUUCAAAGGUCAAAAAUGGUCAUAAAUGAGCUUGUGCGGGCCAUAACUAUGUCAUUCAUUGUGAAAUUUUAAAAUCAUAUGGCCUAUUUGUUCACCAUUAUUGGAAGGUGUUUUUUGCGAAAGAAUAAUGUCGAUACCUGCAACGUCAAGGUCACACUUUGAGUUUCAAGGUCAAAAAUGGCCAUAAAUGAUCUUAUCUGGGCCAUAACUAUCAUUCAUUGUGAGAUUUUAAAAUUACUCGGUACAUUUGUUCACAAUCAUUAGACGGUGUGUCGCGCGAAAAAAUAACGUGAAUUACUCCCAGGUCAAAGUUACACUUUGAGUUCAAAGGUCAAAAAGGGCCAUAAAUGAGCUUGUCCGGGCCGUAACUAUGUCAUUCAUUGUUAGAUUUUAAAAUCAUUUGGCCUAUUUGUUCACCAUAAUUGGAAGGUGUGUCAUGCGCAAGAAUGACGUCUAUAUCUCCAAGGUCAAGGUCACACUUUGAGUUCGAAGAUAAAAAAUGGCCAUAAAUGAGCUUGUCCGGGUCAUAAUAUGUCAUUCAUUGUGAGAUUUUAAAAUCAUUUGGCACAUUUGUUCACAAUCAUUGGAUGGUGUGUCAUGCGAAAGAAUUAUGUCGAUAUCUGCAAGAUCACACUGUGAGUUCAAAGGUCAAAAAUGGCCAUAAAUGAUAUUGUCUGGGCCAUAACUAUGUCAUUCAUUGUGAGAUUUUAAAAUUAUUCUGUACAUUUGUUCACAAUCAUUAGACAGUGUGUCAUGCGAAAGAAUUACGUCGAUAUCUCCAAGGUCAAGGUCACACUUGGAGUUCAAAAGUAAAAAAUGGCCAUAAAUGAGCUUGUCCGGGUCAUAACUAUGUCAAUCAUUGUGAGAUUUUAAAAUUUCUCGGUACACGUCUUUGACAAAGUUUAAUUAUAAAUAAAAAAAAUUAAACCUGGUUUUGUGAUAAUUUUGUCCCUUGUUUAAUUUUAGUCAACAAAUAAAUGGAAUUUCAUAAGUGUAUUUCAACAUUACCUUUUUUGCCUAGUAUUGUUAUUUUAUACCAUGUUCAUCUUAUGUCUACUUUUAAAUGUGUCUUAAUGUCUCGCAAUAAAAUUGUACAUAUUUUCAUGUUUGUCGUCAUUUAAAUAAUAAAACAUCAUUCAGUACUC